AUGUCUCCAAUCCAUUUAAUUUCCAUAUGUAUUACACAAGCAGCCAAAGUGGAACCAAAUUUGGAUUGGGCUCAGAGGACAAGUGGAAUGGAAAAUCCUGAUUCUUCAAGGCAAACUGCCCCCUCCAGAGCUGUGGAUGAGAAAGCAUGCAGGCCCUCCCAUGCUUCUACUUUUAAGGAGAGAAAAAUGCAUUUCCUGAUUCAAUUACAGAUCUGCUACCAUCCAUGUCACUUUGCCCUCAGAGAGUACAUUUGCACUAUUCCAUCUAAAGUGGCUGAAGAUUGAAACCUAAGUUGCCCAUCUUUUUAUCUUUAGCUUUCACAUCUUGUUUGACUUCUUGGUGCACUUGCAUUCCACAGGACUUUUUAUGAUUAAGGGGGUGAUUUAUCACACUUAUACUGUGCUUUGCUCUAGAGUACUCAAAGCAGUAUAGGUAAGGAUUCCAGGCAGCAUACUGAGACCAGUUUCAGCAGAACUACUUAUCAGUAGAACAUUCCUAGAGCUGAUGUGUAAUUAGUUGCUUGAGCAGCAGCCCACAUGCUGAGAUGAUAGAAGUUACAUCUGGGGACUAUAGCUACCAGAAACCCAUAAGCAGCAUGGACACUGCCAUCUUGGUGAUUGACUUCUGGAAACUGUUCCCAAAGUAAAUUUUCCUAGCUCUGUGCACAUCUUAAGUAAGGCAGCUUUGUACUUCUUGUGGCAAAGGAGAAGAUGGGCCCUCUCAGAUGAACAAGUACAGAUACCCACAAUUAUACUCCAAAUUGUAAAAUUUCCCCCAAUUCCUUGAAAUAAAGGAUUGGGAUGCGUGUGAUGGCUGGUAAGG
rnacentral:lncRNA from 1 species